rnacentral:tRNA from 1 species
GCCAGUGUAGCUCAGUCGGCCAGAGCAACUGAUUCGUAAUCAGUAGGUCGGGGGUUCGAAUCCCCCUGCUGGCUCCA